rnacentral:tRNA from 4 species
GCGGAGAUGCUGGAAUCGGCAGACAGGCAUGUUUGAGGGGCAUGUGUGAGUCAUCACGUGAGGGUUCAAGUCCCUUUCUCCGCACCA